rnacentral:rRNA from 1 species
CCUACGGGAGGCAGCAGUGAGGAAUAUUGGUCAAUGGACGGAAGUCUGAACCAGCCAAGUCGCGUGAAGGAUGACGGCCCUAUGGGUUGUAAACUUCUUUUAUGCGGGGAUAAAAUGCGCCACGUGUGUCUUUUUGUAGGUACCGUAUGAAUAAGGAUCGGCUAACUCCGUGCCAGCAGCCGCGGUAAUACGGAGGAUCCGAGCGUUAUCCGGAUUUAUUGGGUUUAAAGGGUGCGUAGGCGGCCGGUUAAGUUAGCGGUGAAAUGGCGGGGCUCAACCGUGGAAUUGCGGGGGAAACUGGCAGGCUGGAGUGCGGGAGAGGUAUGCGGAAUGCGUGGUGUAGCGGUGAAAUGCUUAGAUAUCACGAAGAACUCCGAUUGCGAAGGCAGCAUACCGGACCGCUACUGACGCUGAGGCUCGAAAGCGUGGGUAUCGAACAGGAUUAGAUACCCGUGUAGUC